GAGGAGGGGGGCGAGAACGGGAGGGUGAGGAAGGCGCCCCCGCCCUAUCCUCGGGGAUGCUCCCCUUCCACAUGUCGGAGAGCAUCUUGCCUCCUGCCCCGCAGGAACCACGCGAAUGGGGCGAGUCGCCCAUGGCCAUGGCACAGCACCGCGGCACCCAUUCCGUAAUAUCGGAAGUGCUUCGCUCUCCCCUGGCUGGCCCCAGGCUGGCCAAGACAAAGACCACUUGGCCUGGCACAGAGCCUACAUUGAAGCGCUCAUUUGUGGCUCAUCUGCGCUGCUGGACAUUCAUCUGCCCCUACAUUUGGUCUGGUGUGCUUGUUCAUUGAAAACUAAUGGCUUGGCACGUCGUGUUCCAAAGUGGCUUGGUGCUCAGCAUCACCAGCUCCUCAUUUGUGCCUGUGCUCACCAGUGAUGAGCCAGGUGCUGCCUGACAAUGAUGUGAAGCACAUCGAAUAAACUGUCUCCACAAAUGUCUUUAUUAACUACACUUUGCGAUAAAGAUCCAAAAUAGCUUCACAUUUUUAGCAUGUUGCUGAAUCAACACAUGGCACUGAGCAAAUGCUGCUUAAGACUGGGAAAGGACAUCCAGGACAGCAGUGACAACCAUCUAAUAAAUGUUAUUGCAGACUCCCUGAGGAGCCCUGCUUCAGUCAA